rnacentral:rRNA from 1 species
GAACGCUGGCGGCGUACUUAACACAUGCAAGUCGUACGAGAAAUUCCGAUUCGUCGGAGAGUAAAGUGGCGAACGGGUGAGUAACACGAGGGUAAUCUACCCUUAAAUUAGGGAUAACCUUGCGAAAGCGAAGCUAAUACCUGAUAAGACUACGAUCUUCUAGGAGAUAGUAGGAAAAGAUGGCCUCUGUUUCAUGCUAUUGUUUAAGGAUGAGCCCUUGCACUAUUAGCUUGUUGGUGGGGUAAUGGCCCACCAAGGCUACGAUGGUUAGCUGGUCUGAGAGGAUGAUCAGCCACACUGGAACUGAGACACGGUCCAGACUCCUACGGGAGGCAGCAGUGAGGAAUAUUGCGCAAUGGGGGAAACCCUGACGCAGUGACGCCGCGUGAGUGAUGAAGGCUUUCGAGUCGUAAAGCUCUGUUAGGUGGAAAGAAAUAUUCCAGUGCCAAUACCACUGGGAUUUGACGGUACCACCAGAGGAAGCACCGGCUAACUCCGUG